GCCGCCAUGGCGGAAUGGCAGACGCGUCAGACUCAAAAUCUGAUAAUGGUAACAUUGUGUGGGUUCAAGUCCCACUGGCGGCA
rnacentral:tRNA from 1 species